UACGUAGGGUGCAAGCGUUAAUCGGAAUUACUGGGCGUAAAGCGCGCGCAGGCGGUUGUGUAAGACAGAUGUGAAAUCCCCGGGCUCAACCUGGGAACUGCAUAUGUGACUGCACAGCUGGAGUACGGUAGAGGGGGAUGGAAUUCCGCGUGUAGCAGUGAAAUGCGUAGAUAUGCGGAGGAACACCGAUGGCGAAGGCAAUCCCCUGGACCUGUACUGACGCUCAUGCACGAAAGCGUGGGGAGCAAACAGG
rnacentral:rRNA from 1 species